CCAACCGCAUUCAAUUGGUCUGCAAGAGUGCGUCUUGGAGGAGUUCUUUCAGCCAUCUCCUAUGUUCUUCUAUCUGGUGAAGGUGAUAGUAAUCUUUCAGGGGAAGGAAACAAAUCCCUAGAUAGGCGUCUGACUCUCCUUCUCCCCCUUGCCUCGCUUAAGCCUUCAAGAAGAGGUUGUGUAUUUUUCUUGCUUCUAGUAUGUCUGGGCUCCUGUUGCA
rnacentral:lncRNA from 1 species